GCUGAACACCAGGCUCUACUCAAGAUAAAAUCCAUCAGAUUUCCCUGGGAGCUGUUGCAAAGAGGGGUGAGCUACAAGCAGUGUGGCCUGACAAGACUUGGCCCCAGCUGGAGGCACUUACAGUGGUGAUGGGAGGGAAGGGAAAGGCAGAGACAGUUUUGCAGCCUUCCCUUUUCCACAGCAGACAGUGUGUAUGCAAUGGUGGGUGGAGUGGCAACUCCGUUGUUCUUGACCUUCAUCCUCUCUCCAAGUAAGUCUGCAGUAGAUCUCUUAAGGGACAUAGGUUUCUGCCUACUGCCUCCUCUCAUCUGCCAUUCCCUGCAGUCCUGACAACUUUGUACUUGGAAGGUUCAGCAGAGAGAUGCAUUUUGUGACUGGUAUUACCUGCAAACAAGUUGAAUGCUGCUCUCAAUUACAGAUGCUGGGGAUAAGGGCUGUCGUUGGCUUUUCUCAGCCCUGUGCUGAAACUGCCAGUCUGACUCCCCAGAUUCCAUAUGGAUGAAGAUUCCUCCCAGAUAAAAGGUGCCAGCACAGAAAGCUCUUGCUGCCCAUGGAGUGCCCAGGCUGGCCCACCAACUGCACCAGAAACUAUGAAGGACUGGGACACAAAGUGCCAUCUGUAAAUCUGCAGCUCCUAAAACAACCAGUUGCUAGAGGCAGCCCUGGAGCAUAUAAUUUUUAAACUCCAAUGAAUUGUCUGGACACAUUUUUCUCCAAACUCACCAGCCCCUGCAACCCUGGGAUUUGUUUCUAAUGUUAAGAGGGUGCUUAUCUGGUACCUCCUGACCCCUAAAAGGACAUCAACAGAGAUGGGAACUCUAUUAUGUGAGACACUAAAUGAACAUGGAGAAUGGCAGCACCUGCCCCAAGUAGCUGACUGUCUAAAAUAGACAAAACAGGCACUGAAAAGCCUGUUAUCUCCAAUUAUAGAUGGCAGUUUACUCUUUCAUGUUUCCCAAACCGGUACUUCUUCAGAUCAAAUACUUACAAAAGACUAGUUCAGUAAAACAACCCCAGCCUUCUGCAAAGACUUGUGGUAAGGGUCAGAAUCUUUGUUCUAACCAGUGUUGUUUUUUAGAGUCUGAUGUUUAUAAACCAUUUGAUAUGUAACUGUGUUAUUUCACUUGGUGACCUUAGCAGUUUUGCUUUGGGAUUUUUUUGUGUUCUUUAAAUGAAAAUACUUCUUUGUAACUGAGCAGAGCAAGUGUAGAUUAUUUGUGGUGUCAUGGAUAAAUAGCAAACCUGUUUUAAAACAAUGUACAGUAGAGUCAUGGGGAGGGGAAGAAGGAUGGAGAGGAAAAUUGGGAAGGGCUGUGUUUGUCUUCCUUUUUGCCCCCAUAUAUUCUGCCUGGUCUGUUCCUCCAGCCCCCCUCUCAGAAGUGAACAUCCCCUAUAAAAUGCAAGCAACUCUCUUAGACUGUUUCUGCUCCCAUCAGGUUUGGGGGCGAGGCAGGAGUGAAGCAGAGGUCCCAGCAGUGGUGGUGGCUGGGUGGGGGGUGUCUGGUCCAGGCUGGUGGCUUCUUGCUGUCUUCCUGCCUGGAGAUGUGGUGUUCUGAGAGUCCUGGGGACAGGCAUUCGUGGGGAUGCCAGCACAUCUGGCUGCAGCUCUGAUAAUCAAGUAGACUUUAGAACCAGCACAGGCUUUGAACAGACAAUUAGGAGUUAAGCUAUUAAUCAAAGACCUCUGAAAAGCACCCAGGGAGGUUGACACUAGAAUUGGGGGGAGGGUUCUAGUUGAUUCUUUCUUUGAUGUAUCAAGAAUAAGGUUUAAGAAGAAUUUAAACACUUUCUUAAAAUAAUGCCUUUAGUUGUGUGGGUGGAAGUAACAAAUCUUUCAGCUCAUAAAGCUGAUGCUUCGUAUAAUUUCCUGAUGUUCACUUACCUUGGCUGUUCAUGGAAACUUGCAUUCCAGCAUAAACUCUAAUCAUCCCCCUGAAAGCAUCAAGAAAGAUUAGUCCCUGGUGACAGCCACGGGCCAUUAGUGCCUUACAGUGGAUGUGCUCUCCCUUCUGUUCAUGCACUCCAUGAGUCCCAAAGCUGCCAUGAGCAGGACAGGGCUCACUGUUCUGAGAUGUCUGGUGGGCUGGGGCUGUGUGCCCUCACCCAUGGAGAGGGGUCAGCCCACCUUCUGCUCAGAACAGGCAAACGGCCGUGGGGGCUGUGCCUGCCCCGGGCUGUUCACUCACAUUUAUAUCCCAAAACAUCCUGAAACGUGCUGGUAGAGUUCAGCACAAAGGGCUGGCCACCAGGUAACUCCUCAGCUGCUGAGCUUGUCACUGCUGAGGGCUGCCACCCACAGAGAUUUUCCAAGACUCCAUCUUUCCCUGGAAAGCUGGGGGAUGCAGUAUGUCUGGGCUGACUCUUCUUGGGCGUGUAUGAGCCGUACAGACGGUCUGUGCCAGCACCAUGGCUGCUUCACUCCAAACCCUG